AUUGAACGCUGGCGGCAUGCUUUACACAUGCAAAUCGAACGGCAGCGCGGGCUUCGGCCUGGCGGCGAGUGGCGAACGGGUGAGUAAUGCAUCGGAACGUGCCCAGUAGUGGGGGAUAGCCCGGCGAAAGCCGGAUUAAUACCGCAUACGACCUGAGGGUGAAAGCGGGGGACCGAAAGGCCUCGCGCUAUUGGAGCGGCCGAUGUCGGAUUAGCUAGUUGGUGGGGUAAAGGCUUACCAAGGCGACGAUCCGUAGCUGGUCUGAGAGGACGACCAGCCACACUGGGACUGAGACACGGCCCAGACUCCUACGGGAGGCAGCAGUGGGGAAUUUUGGACAAUGGGGGCAACCCUGAUCCAGCCAUGCCGCGUGCGGGAAGAAGGCCUUCGGGUUGUAAACCGCUUUUGUUCGGGAAGAAAUCCUCUGGGCUAAUACCCCGGGGGGAUGACGGUACCGGAAGAAUAAGCACCGGCUAACUACGUG
rnacentral:rRNA from 1 species